AUUGAACGCUGGCGGCAUGCCUUACACAUGCAAGUCGAACGGUAACAGGUCUUCGGAUGCUGACGAGUGGCGAACGGGUGAGUAAUGCAUCGGAACGUGCCCAGUAGUGGGGGAUAGCCCGGCGAAAGCCGGAUUAAUACCGCAUACGACCUGAGGGUGAAAGGGGGGGAUCGCAAGACCUCUCGCUAUUGGAGCGGCCGAUGUCAGAUUAGCUAGUUGGUGGGGUAAAGGCCUACCAAGGCAACGAUCUGUAGUUGGUCUGAGAGGACGACCAGCCACACUGGGACUGAGACACGGCCCAGACUCCUACGGGAGGCAGCAGUGGGGAAUUUUGGACAAUGGGCGCAAGCCUGAUCCAGCAAUGCCGCGUGCAGGAAGAAGGCCUUCGGGUUGUAAACUGCUUUUGUCAGGGAAGAAAUCUUCUGGGUUAAUACCUCGGGAGGAUGACGGUACCUGAAGAAUAAGCACCGGCUAACUACGUGCCAGCAGCCGCAGUAAGAC
rnacentral:rRNA from 1 species